CCAGGGCAUGAGCUCAUGCUUCUUGGCACCAUAAACCUUGGCCAUACUUCAGCUUGCAGUGACCAGAUAUUUACCACAGGUCUGCAUUCACAUCUGUGCCAGCCAUACCCUGUGAGGGCAAAGGGAGAUGAUUCCAAGGCUGCAGCUCUGCCAGGAAAGACGUGGGUGGUGUGGAACCUGGCCACUGGUCUUUAAAUCCCCAGGAUCCCCACUGGGCGCCGCCUGCCCCCACUGAAGAACACUACCAAAAAUGUGUGAACUUCCAACUGCAACCACCAGAUGGCGAAAGGGAUCUCCGUACAAGACUCUGAUGGCAGUAAAACGUGUUCAAGGCUAUUUGAAAGUGAUUUAUCGAAGACCAACACGGACAAGGCUGCACAGCAGCUCCUGGUUUCUGCAAUUGGCACCUCAAAUUUUGAUCCGUCCGCUGCAGUGAACCAGUUCCCCCAGGACAGGACUUCAGAUUUAAAGAAAAACUUCAGAUCUGAAUCCUUGGAUGGAUUGUGGGACAAAUCGCAUUCUCUGAGACAUGCACAGUUCCUUGCAUUACUCCACAGGUGAGUAUUCCAACAUUGUAUGGUAUGUUCUGUGGCCUGUGUACUGUCAAAUUUAUGCACACCAAUUAAGAAGAAACACAAAAAAGGA